ACGAGAGAAAACACAGAAAAAUGGGUCCUAAUCUAUAAUGUGUUGGCUCGUUUCGGCUGUGCGCAGAGGUAUUUGCUCACUAUUAAACUCCUGGAAGGGUCCAGUAACAAAAGAAGCCCUGAAAGCCCAAGUAGAAGAAGCCCUGAAGGCUCACUGGUUUAGGCAAUUUGAAGCCCAAUCUCCUUUCUCAAAUUCCAAUCUUCGUUCAAUCCAAAUCCUCGGCAAUAAAAUUCACCCAGAACAGUAUGUUGGCUACUCACAUAAUCUUCUGCAGCAAAAUCCCAAUCUUCGUUGUCAUCAACCUUUAUCACUUCAUAUCGUUGCGCCUUUUUUCUCAGUUUCCGUCCAUAGUCCAAACCUCCAAGGUUCCAAAUUUCUCCUAAAUGGAUCCUCUUUCGGCUCUCCGCGACUUCACCAUUCGCGGCGAAGUGGACAAGAUCGUCCGAGUUAACGAGGAGUUCCGUUUCGGAACCGAUUACACCUUCCCUUGCUCUAUAAAGACUGCUUAUCGCUCUAAGCACGGCAAUCUCUACACCCUCGAAACUCUGGUUUACUACAUCCAGAACGCCAAUCUCAAGUUCACUGAUUACCUCCAGAAUGCUCGUGCCGUUGGCCUCACCCCCAUAACCUUUAUCGACCGCAAGCCCCUUUUCGAUUACCUCACCGGAAAGCUCUCCUCCACCGACUCCAUCGUUUACCCUCUUCCCCAGCAGCAACAACAGCAUCAGCAAAACCCUAAUGCUGAUCUCGCCAACGAGUACCGACCCGACGACCCCGCUUUCCUCGAUUCUCAUGAUGCUGAUGUGGCGGGAGCUGAUAAUGGUAAAGAGGAGGAUCCCAUUACUAUGAUAUACUCCAUGGAGAGGCCUCUCAAGGAUAGGGAGUCGUUGUUGGAGUGCAAGAACAGAGAUUUUUAUAGUGUGCUGGUGGCCUCUACUCGGCGUGAAGAGGAGAGGCAGAGAAUCGAAUCCCAGCAGAGGAAGGAUGGGUUGGUGGCUAAGAGUAGAUUGAUGGGGGCUGACGAGAGAGGAAUUGGAUAUGGUGAUGAGCUGGGUUAUGAUGCGACACCCAAGCCCAAAAUGCAUUUGAAAGGAGGCAAAUUUGGGGAAGGAGUGCCCAUAAUUUUAGUUCCCAGUGCGUUCCAGACUUUGAUUACUAUUUAUAAUGUGAAGGAGUUUUUGGAGGAUGGAAUUUAUAUACCUACGGAUGUGAAGGUGAAGCAAAUGAAAGGGGCGAAGCCAGACUGUGUCACAGUACAGAAGAAAUUUAGUACUGAUAGGAAUAGGGUGAUGACUGCAUAUGAGGUCAGGGACAAGCCGUCUGCGCUCAAGGCUGAGGAUUGGGACCGGGUUGUGGCUGUUUUCGUGUUGGGAAAAGAGUGGCAAUUCAAGGAUUGGCCGUUUAAGGAUCACGUGGAGAUAUUUAAUAAAAUCAUUGGAUUUUUCAUGAGGUUUGAAGAUGACAGUGUAGAAUCAGCAAAGACUGUGAAGCAAUGGAAUGUAAAGAUCAUCUCGAUUAGCAAGAACAAGAGACACCAGGAUAGGGCAGCAGCAUUGGAAGUGUGGGACAGACUUGAAGAGUUUGUGCGCUCACGAUCACAUUCAUGAAUUUGAAAAUGGAACUGUAUCAUGACAAUUAUGAGUUGCACAAUGUCGUUCGACGUUGUGGAGUGUUGGGGAUGCCUUGUUCUGUAUAUAUGGAGAUGUCUAUGGUCAGGCCACUGAGUGCUUGUCUUUUGGUCAAUUAAAUGCCAAUGGCUUGUUGCAGCCGAUACUUAGUUUUCUGCAGAAGUGACUGUGUUUGGGCUACAAAAUUUUCAGUGUAAGGUUGAAACAUAUGAAGCUGCAAAGAGAAGGAAUGCGAGCAAUGAGAUUGACAACUUGGUGGAGCUCCCAUUUGAUGUUCCAUCUACUUCUCUUGAUGGUACAGUUUUAGAUCCAGUUCCUACAAGAAGUCAAACAAGUUAAACCAGAGAAGAGAAUGAAGAAUUUGUGCAAAACGUUCAAUGGCUUACUGGCAAAGAAGCAUUGAAAACCUUAUUGUUUAUGAAAGCAUGCAGUACCUGAAGGUGUACUUGGAACUUCUGGUGUUCCUGCUGGAGAGGCGGCUGGAGAAGUGGCUGUUUACAUACAGCGGCUGGUGGGUGGAGUCUGAACAUUGCAAGCACCAGGCAAAGCAAGAGCCUGGGUCUGGUUGAUGUUGAUCCCAAGUGAUGAGCCACCACCAUUUAGAACCUCACACAAGCACUGGGGUGAAGAGCGAACGACACUGGAAAGCUGUGUGCAGCACUGUGAAGAUGGAGUUGAGCUGUUCCCUGUGAUGUAAUUCAGGCAUGGUGACAUGCUUAUUAAGACAUUUGUACAACUAGACUGUGCCAUAGCUCCUGCCCAUAGCACGCUCACUAGGAUCAAAGCCAAACUCGUUGCCAUUUGUGUGUGUGCCAUUGGGUCUCUGGAAAUGCCUGUAGAAUGUGAAUAUAUCCUGCAACUACUUAAGUUUGAUGGAAUUGGGAGAAAGAAGUCUGGCUUUUAUAGGAAUUUGAGGCCAGAGCUGACAAAUGAGAAUUGGAUUAUGUGGGUGACCAACUAUUCCUGACCUCCUAACCGGGUUCUUUGGUAAAAAGCUGAAGGUGUUCAAACCUGGACCCUUGGAUACUUGCUAUGCCUAUACGUGGCUUACCUGGGAAGGCCUUGGAGUUUGGUUGUGUAGGUGACCGACUUGUGCUGCUUGAAGUCUUAGAUACAGAGUAAUAAUAAGGGAUUCAAACAUGGAGACUUUUAGAAAUUCUGAUUCCAUAGGGAGAAGCAUAACGUGCUUCUGACUGCACCUUUACUAGAAUUUGGCUUUGUGCUUUCUCUUUCAGAAUCUGAGAGAACUGAUUUAGAAAGCAUAAAAAAUUCUGGUGGAAGAAGAUUAAAGGACUGCUGGCUCUUUUUUGACAGUGUAUUUAGCUACGUGUCUUCCUGUUGCUUCAAACCUAAGGAAAAUUUGAUAAUGAUAUUUUCUCGCAAUGAACAAGGAUAAACUUGUCCAGAAAGAAUGUUGAGCUA